UACUAUGCUUAUAAUCAUCAGAUAUACUUAGUGUUUUCAAAUUUCAGAAAAUGACUAAACAGAAUAAGCAAGUUGCAGUUAUCGAACACACAUAUGAACUGCCUUCAGAUGUUCAGGCUAGAAGGGCCUUAAUGAGAUCAGUUUCUAUUAUCUUGAAAGGUCUGGUCAGAAAUAGCUUUGGGACCACAAGAACUUAUCUCAUGUUGAUGGAAGAUCAAAUUUCAUGCUUUGUAGCUGCAGUUAUGAAACAAAAGGUUGCUUGCCAGCAUCAGCUUUUCUGAGACCACAAGAAAACUCUAAUAGACACUUCACCACCGAAGCAAGACAAAAAGAAAUAAUUACUCGUUUUUUACUUCUUGCUUUAGAAAAAAAUGGUAUUUUUACAUUUGCACUCAUCUUUCAGCAUACCAGGAUUCUUUUUUUUCUGAACUUUAGGAGAAAGGUUAGCACUGAAAGCAUUUGCAAAAUAAUUUGGAUUAAUGUUAUAUCUCACCAUAAGGGUAGAUGCUAAAUUAGAAAGAUUUGCAGAAUUUCCAUUCAUAGCUCAUCUUUUAAUCAACUUGAAUGAACUUAAAAUCAAGUUAAAAUGAUGGGAAGAAAUCUCACAAUUGUAUUGGAAAUUUUCCUUGCUAGCUAGCAUUUUUUGGGGGGCAUAAAAUACUUUGAUUUGAUUGACUUUCCUUUUUGAUUUGAUUUUGAUCUGAUAGACUUCCUUUGAUGUAUUUUUCUGGGAUAGGCAUUAGCUCAUGAAACGAUUAAAGGCUUCAUAUAGGAGCUGCUUGGUAAGAAUAUACAUGGAGACAAAAGCACAUCAGUAAAUCAUAUCUGCCUUUACAAUAAAUGCAUUAAUCCUGAGUGAUCCAUCCAGUUCUUCACUGAGAUUGUCUUUAAGUCAUAUAGACUUUGACAUCUAAUUUCAACAACCUUGUUUUUUAACAUAACUUAUUUAGAUCUACACCUUUUUGUCAACACAUGUUUUUGAGUAGCAUGUUGAAUGGAGUGAUGAUAUGGAUUUAAUAGCAGAAGAAAGAAAUAAAACCUCUCCCCAUUCACACCAGUAUCAUCUGAUGAAGAACUGUUGCAGCUGUGCAACUAGCUAGCCCUCCCCCUGGCCUCUGUAUAGCAGGUGGUGCCUGGGGUGGGGAGGUUUGAUAUAGUAGCCUGGGAUGGGCCUAGGAGAGAUGAUGGUAGAGGUAUGGUGUAGGGAUGAGGCUAAUUUCUUUGUGCUUGUUUCCCUAAAUAUGGUGUAGAGUCCUAAUUCUUAGUUGCACUUUACAGUGUGGCUAACGAUAGAGGCUGUUUAGGUUGCUAGCUCAUGAGGCGAGAAACACCUCACUGUAUGACUCUUUCUUGCCAUCCAGUUACCUUCUUUGCACUCUGAAGAUCUGUUGAAAGUCACUUGUGUUGUUGUUGGUAGCCUUAAACCUCAGUUUUAGGCUCUGCAGAAGCUUUGGUGCUGCUAAUACUAAAAUCUUUAUCUGCUUCCUGGCCUGCACUGCAGAGGUAUAUUCUUGAUCUUAUUGUUUGUUUGCCGUGAGUGAGCUUGAUGUGUACUUUAUUCUGCCCUUCCGUAAAACCAAGAAAACAUAUCUCUUGGGAAAGCUGUGAGGCUUGCUUUCCUAGGCCUUGCUGGCUGUGUUCCCACCAGAAAAGGAGCCUGUCUUCCUUCUGUUCUCCAGGGCUGGAAGCAGUCUGGGUACUGCAGCAUUAACAGUAGUCUCCUGCUCCUCCUGUACCUUGUAUGCCUUCUGUAGGUGCUGCCUUUACUCCAUUGUACAGCACUAGCAAGCUGUUAUUCAGGAAACAAUUUUAACUUAUCUCAAGGUGUCAACAGGGAGUGGUUUCAGAGAGUCACAAAAAGUAGAAUGCUUCUAUCCCUCGGGAGCCUUGAAAAUAUAGGCUGGUAUCUUGGCUGGUUAAUUCAACUCUUCCAUCUGGUGAUGCUGUCCAGUGUCUUUCUAGCCCUCUAUUGUGCAGUGGUUUCCCUGAGGAGAAUGUUAGUUUAAGUGGCCUCUGUACUUUUGCUGCUAUUAAUCUACAAGUAUUGAGUGACUAUCAGAGCAUGCCUACGGCUUGAAGGGUCCUCGCUUCGCUUUACCUAAAGCGAAGGCUUCCCAUGCAGUGAGGUUUUAUGAGGUCCUAGGCCUCCCUCCUGCCUGUGCUUUUAAUGCCUCACAGAGGAGGAGCUGCUUGGGAUGCCCUCUCUGGAGACCCAUUGCAACCAAUGCCAUGCCCUGCCUUGUUUGUGUCGAACAACUACCCUGAGGACUUUGCUCUGUACAUGUGUAAGGUAAGACUCUCAAGUGUGAGGCCGUGAAACAAACUCCUGGAAGUGUUGUUGUGAAGCGGCCUGUGAAGUCCUGCAUGGUAAGGGAGGUGUCAGAAUGCUGGCCAGUUGCGUUGCUUGGUCUAGCUUACCCUGGUGGAGGGAGCACUUGAGAUGCUGCUAGGGGGAAGCGAAGGAUAGAUGUGAAUUAAUUGGAGGGAAUAGUUGAGAAACAUCCUGUCAGGAAGGAGUCUACCAAACUAAAUGCACCUCUCAAGCUGUUUCUGCCUAGAGGCAGCAGAAGCCUGUGGCUAGCUGGCAGGAAUGACUAAAUUUUUCCAUGUCUUGUUCCAGAGGAAAUUGAAAUUCUUCAACCUCACAGUUCUUGUUUAGAUCUGAGAAAAAAGCUCUACCACCCAUAGUACUCCUCUAUCGGGGGAAGGAUGAGAUGAAGAAGAGAAUUUGUUAGGCAGGAUUGGGAGAAUAAACCCUACUGAAGGUUGUAUUAUAAAUGGGUACUUGGAAGCAUUCAUCAGCCUCUUCAGUAUUUUCAUUCAUUAGUAACAGAAGAUACCUACAUCCAACUGGCUCCCAACCGCAUGAAGAACUUACCUGUUUCAGAAUAAAGGCACUAUUGUUAGCAACACUUUAGUGACUCCUGUAAACUGGAUUGAAUUCACUAGUUCAGAAAAAUGCUAAGAUUGUGACCAUGGAGCUUUUCUACUAAUAGAA